AACCUAAUUAUCUACAAUAUCAAUAACAAGGGUAUAAUCGUCAUUCACCAUCUGAAGCCCUAAUUUCAUCGUCUUUAUCUAAGCUUCAAAGUUCAAUCCCAGAUCUGUUUUCUCGCUUUCUUCUCGCCGAUUAGCUAAUUUCUGGUUCUAGUUUGUCGAAACUUAGUUUGGUAAUGGUUUUUCUUUAUUGCUUCUAGUUUUUCAAAAUCUUUGUUGGUAAUGGGUUUGAGUCCGAUCGUCCUCAAAUAGUUCUGCAGUUUUUGUUUGUUAUUGUUGUUUGAUUUGCCCAAUGAUGCAUAAAAUUAUGUUAUAGAGCGGUUGUAUUUGGGUAAUCUCCGGCGUGUUGUUUUAACCUAAAAGCCUUGAACGCUGUCGUUUCGCCGUCGACAACAAUCACACGCGCACACUUCCACCAUUAUCAUCUAUCCACCACACAGGUUCGUCGGAUGCGAAACGGUGGUGUUCAGGGCUUUUUUAAGGUUGCUGGAUUUUAUUCAUUUACUUUAAGCCGUGAAUGAUCAGAUUUAUAGCUAUGAGAUCUGAGGGCUUUUUCUUUUAAGUUUCAGUUUUUAUCUUUUGUGUUUCUGUGGUUUUUUUGCCCACUGAUGUGAAAAACUCAAAUUCUGAGUGGUGCCCUGGUUUUUGAAUUUUGUUCUCGUAGUUACCAUUGUUGCUCUACAUCAUCAUUAUCAUCAUCAUCAUUGACACCAUCUCUUCUUCUUCUUCUUCUUCCUCGUAUUUCUCUGCUGCUGCUGCUACUACUGGUUUCUUGCAAUGGUAACUACGGGUCAAUUUGAGAACUGGUUUUUGAUGCGCCGCAUAUGACUGAUUUUAGAAUGUUAAGCCCUGUGAUGAUGACUCUAAUGAGUUUGAGUGGUGCCGCUUGGUUGUUUCUUGCUGAAACUCGUCAUCUUUAUUGCUGCUCCUGCUUCUCUCUCUCUCUCUCUCUCUCUCUCUCUCUCUUUCUCUCUCUCUCUCUCUCUCUAUAUAUAUAUAUAUAUACAUACAUACAUGGAUGGUUGCAGCAAUGGGGAUGAUGAUGUUAAGGGUCUUUGGCAUAGAGGAAGCCAAUGCGUUGUGCCAUGUAUGACCAAGUUUUAAAACCAUUGUCACUAAGACCAGAGGGCUUUAUUCUCUGUGUUUUGUUUUUUUGUCUUCUUUGUUGAAAAGUUAAAACGACCUAUUUUGUGAAGUAGUUAGAAAUUUUGGGUUAUAAUGUGGCGAUUGUUGUUCUCAUAAAAUUAAAUCGUAGUCGAUGAAAGUUUGGAGCAACGUUUGAGUUUGUUUAGACAAAUAUUAUAAACUUUUCUGUUUAAGCAUUUGCCUAACGGCUUGAGCCUGAAGGUAAAAUGUAUGAGGCGUGUAAAGUCUUUUAUCACCGGAGGCACAUCUUGUAAAAGAGAAUCUUGAGCUUCUUACCAAGUUUGAUCAUUUGUCGUGACCUAGUGUUGGAGUAUGUGGCAAAAGUCACAUGGUUCGGAGCCGGGUGAACUACACGCCUCGUUCAAACUUGGAACGUGCGACGAAUAGACGUCCAGAUCAACUAGUUGGUUCCAAUAUACAAUCAUUUUUCCUCCGCUGGAUUACAAUUUACAAGCCCAUGGUACUGAACUUGACUAUUGAGGUUGUUAGGUUCUUCUCUAAACCGUCGACUUUGUUUUAAACAAUGCGGGACUGUGUAAACUCUUUAUUUUUUUAUAUAUUAAAAACAAAAGUAUUGAACUUGUCUA